rnacentral:rRNA from 1 species
GACGAACGCUGGCGGCGUGCUUAACACAUGCAAGUCGAACGGAAAGGCCCUGCUUUUGUGGGGUGCUCGAGUGGCGAACGGGUGAGUAACACGUGAGUAACCUGCCCUUGACUUUGGGAUAACUUCAGGAAACUGGGGCUAAUACCGGAUAGGAGCUCCUGCUGCAUGGUGGGGGUUGGAAAGUUUCGGCGGUUGGGGAUGGACUCGCGGCUUAUCAGCUUGUUGGUGGGGUAGUGGCUUACCAAGGCUUUGACGGGUAGCCGGCCUGAGAGGGUGACCGGCCACAUUGGGACUGAGAUACGGCCCAGACUCCUACGGGAGGCAGCAGUGGGGAAUAUUGCACAAUGGGCGGAAGCCUGAUGCAGCAACGCCGCGUGCGGGAUGACGGCCUUCGGGUUGUAAACCGCUUUCGCCUGUGACGAAGCGUGAGUGACGGUAAUGGGUAAAGAAGCACCGGCUAACUACGUGCCAGCAGCCGCGGUGAUACGUAGGGUGCGAGCGUUGUCCGGAUUUAUUGGGCGUAAAGGGCUCGUAGGUGGUUGAUCGCGUCGGAAGUGUAAUCUUGGGGCUUAACCCUGAGCGUGCUUUCGAUACGGGUUGACUUGAGGAAGGUAGGGGAGAAUGGAAUUCUGUGGGAGCGGUGGAAUGCGCAGAUAUCAGGAGGAACACCAGUGGCGAAGGCGGUUCUCUGGGCCUUUCCUGACGCUGAGGAGCGAAAGCGUGGGGAGCGAACAGGCUUAGAUACCCUGGUAGUCCACGCUGUAAACGGUGGGUACUAGGUGUGGGGUCCAUUCCACGGGUUCCGUGCCGUAGCUAACGCUUUAAGUACCCCGCCUGGGGAGUACGGCCGCAAGGCUAAAACUCAAAGGAAUUGACGGGGCCCCGCACAAGCGGCGGAGCAUGCGGAUUAAUUCGAUGCAACGCGUAGAACCUUACCUGGGUUUGACAUGGAUCGGGAGUGCUCAGAGAUGGGUGUGCCUCUUUUGGGGUCGGUUCACAGGUGGUGCAUGUCUGUCGUCAGCUCGUGUCGUGAGAUGUUGGGUUAAGUCCCGCAACGAGCGCAACCCUUGUUCACUGUUGCCAGCACGUUAUGGUGGGGACUCAGUGGAGACCGCCGGGGUCAACUCGGAGGAAGGUGGGGAUGACGUCAAGUCCUCAUGCCCCUUAUGUCCAGGGCUUCACGCAUGCUACAAUGGCUGGUACAGAGAGUGGCGAGCCUGUGAGGGUGAGCGAAUCUCGGAAAGCCGGUCUCAGUUCGGAUUGGGGUCUGCAACUCGACCUCAUGAAGUCGGAGUCGCUAGUAAUCGCAGAUCAGCAACGCUGCGGUGAAUACGUUCCCGGG